CUCCCAGAGCCGGUGCAGUCAGUCCCCUCGCCCCUCCCACCCCUGCGCGGGUCCCCCUCCAGCCGUCGCUACAUCCACCACCUCGGUUCCACUCAAUCGAUUUUUGCUGCAUGUCAACACUUAUUACCGUCCACCCAGGGAGUCCAGGGCCGGAGGAGCCCCCAGCCACAUCCCCUUCUCACCCUUUCUCUGGCCUCCGCGCCUUCACUCCCGGGCAGCCAUAUACCUUGAAUGGGUCAUGCCUGCCUGCCUCCUUGGAGCUGCGUCUUGAAGCCCAGGGGUUGAACAUUAACCGGCUGUGGCUAUAG
rnacentral:lncRNA from 1 species